CGUACACUCCUGCGGGAGGCAGCAGUGGGGAAUAUUGCACAAUGGGCGCAAGCCUGAUGCAGCCAUGCCGCGUGUAUGAAGAAGGCCUUCGGGUUGUAAAGUACUUUCAGCGGGGAGGAAGGGAGUAAAGUUAAUACCUUUGCUCAUUGACGUUACCCGCAGAAGAAGCACCGGCUAACUCCGUGCCAGCAGCCGCGGUAAUACGGAGGGUGCAAGCGUUAAUCGGAAUUACUGGGCGUAAAGCGCACGCAGGCGGUUUGUUAAGUCAGAUGUGAAAUCCCCGGGCUCAACCUGGGAACUGCAUCUGAUACUGGCAAGCUUGAGUCUCGUAGAGGGGGGUAGAAUUCCAGGUGUAGCGGUGAAAUGCGUAGAGAUCUGGAGGAAUACCGGUGGCGAAGGCGGCCCCCUGGACGAAGACUGACGCUCAGGUGCGAAAGCGUGGGGAGCAAACAGGAUUAGAAACCCUAGUAGUCCCAUGA
rnacentral:rRNA from 1 species